rnacentral:rRNA from 1 species
GAUGAACGCUGGCGGCGUGCCUAACACAUGCAAGUCGAGCGAUUCUCCUCGGAGAAGAGCGGCGGACGGGUGAGUAACGCGUGGGUAACCUGCCCUGUACACACGGAUAACAUACCGAAAGGUAUGCUAAUACGAGAUAACAUAAGAAAUUCGCAUGUUCUUCUUAUCAAAGCUCCGGCGGUACAGGAUGGACCCGCGUCUGAUUAGCUAGUUGGUGAGGUAAUGGCUCACCAAGGCGACGAUCAGUAGCCGACCUGAGAGGGUGAUCGGCCACAUUGGAACUGAGACACGGUCCAAACUCCUACGGGAGGCAGCAGUGGUGAAUAUUGCACAAUGGGCGAAAGCCUGAUGCAGCAACGCCGCGUGAGCGAUGAAGGCCUUCGGGUCGUAAAGCUCUGUCCUCAAGGAAGAUAAUGACGGUACUUGAGGAGGAAGCCCCGGCUAACUACGUGCCAGCCGCCGCCGUAA